AUGAACGCUGGCGGCGUGCUUAACACAUGCAAGUCGAACGAAGCACUUUAUUACGAUUUCUUCGGAAUGACGAUUUAGUGACUGAGUGGCGGACGGGUGAGUAACGCGUGGGUAACCUGCCUCAUACAGGGGGAUAACAGUUGGAAACGACUGCUAAUACCGCAUAAGCGCACGGUAUCGCAUGAUACAGUGUGAAAAACUCCGGUGGUAUGAGAUGGACCCGCGUCUGAUUAGCUAGUUGGCGAGGUAACGGCCCACCAAGGCAACGAUCAGUAGCCGACCUGAGAGGGUGACCGGCCACAUUGGGACUGAGACACGGCCCAAACUCCUACGGGAGGCAGCAGUGGGGAAUAUUGCACAAUGGGCGAAAGCCUGAUGCAGCGACGCCGCGUGAACGAAGAAGUAUUUCGGUAUGUAAAGUUCUAUCAGCAGGGAAGAAGAAAUGACGGUACCUGACUAAGAAGCUCCGGCUAAAUACGUGCCAGCAGCCGCGGUAAUACGUAUGGAGCAAGCGUUAUCCGGAUUUACUGGGUGUAAAGGGAGCGUAGGCGGUCUUAUAAGUCUGAUGUGAAAGCCCGGGGCUCAACCCCGGGACUGCAUUGGAAACUGUAGGACUAGAGUGUCGGAGGGGUAAGUGGAAUUCCUAGUGUAGCGGUGAAAUGCGUAGAUAUUAGGAGGAACACCAGUGGCGAAGGCGGCUUACUGGACGAUUACUGACGCUGAGGCUCGAAAGCGUGGGGAGCAAACAGGAUUAGAUACCCUGGUAGUCCACGCCGUAAACGAUGAAUACUAGGUGUCGGCCACCACAGGUGGUCGGUGCCGCAGCAAACGCAAUAAGUAUUCCACCUGGGGAGUACGCCGGCAACGGUGAAACUCAAAGGAAUUGACGGGGGCCCGCACAAGCGGAGGAACAUGUGGUUUAAUUCGAUGAUACGCGAGGAACCUUACCCGGGCUUGAAUUGCAACUGAAUGAUGUGGAGACAUGUCAGCCGCAAGGCAGUUGUGAAGGUGCUGCAUGGUUGUCGUCAGCUCGUGUCGUGAGAUGUUGGGUUAAGUCCCGCAACGAGCGCAACCCUUGUCCUUAGUAGCCAGCAUUUAAGGUGGGCACUCUAGGGAGACUGCCAGGGUGAACCUGGAGGAAGGUGGGGAUGACGUCAAAUCAUCAUGCCCCUUAUGACUUGGGCUACACACGUGCUACAAUGGCGUAAACAAAGGGAAGCGAAAUCGCGAGGUGGAGCAAAUCUCAAAAAUAACGUCUCAGUUCGGAUUGUAGUCUGCAACUCGACUACAUGAAGCUGGAAUCGCUAGUAAUCGCGAAUCAGAAUGUCGCGGUGAAUACGUUCCCGGGUCUUGUACACACCGCCCGUCACACCAUGGGAGUUGGGAAUGCCCGAAGUCAGUGACCUAACCGUAAGGAAGGAGCUGCCGAAGGCAGGCUCGAUAACUGGGGUG
rnacentral:rRNA from 1 species